rnacentral:tRNA from 1 species
CUUUAGCUCAGUUGGCCAGAGCACGUGAUUUGUAAUCUCGGGGUCGUUGGUUCGAAUCCCUC